rnacentral:rRNA from 1 species
CUCGGAUAUAGCUGGUUCUCCUCGAAAUAGCUUUAGGGCUAGCCUCAGGAUAGUUUAGCGGAGGUAAAGCACUGAAUGGGCUAGGGGGCUUCACGGCUUACCGAACCCUAUCAAACUCUGAAUGCCGCAUAAAUGUUUCCUGGGAGUCAGACUGCGUGAGAUAAGUUUCGUAGUCAAAAGGGAAAGAGCCCAGACCUACAGCUAAGGUCCCUAAAUGAAUUUAAGUGGAAAAGGAUGUGCAGUUGCGUAGACAACUAGGACGUUGGCUUAGAAGCAGCCACUCAUUUAAAGAGUGCGUAAUAGCUCACUAGUCGAGUGAUUGUGCGCCGAAAAUGUAACGGGGCUAAAAUUCAUACCGAAGCUUAGGAAUGAUAGUAAUAUUGUUGGUAGAUGAGCGUUGUGUAAGUCUGCGAAGCUACACCGAAAGGAGUAGUGGAGAUAUCACAAGUGAGAAUGCCGGAAUGAGUAGCGAGAAUUAUGUGAGAAUCAUAAUGGUCGAAAAUCUAAGGUUUCUUGAGGAAGGUUCGUCCGCUCAAGGUAAGCCGGGAGCUAAGGCGAGGCCGAGAGGCGUAGUCGAUGCACAUACGGUAAAGAUUCCGUAGCCACCGAAGUCGUUAAAUACAGGGACACAGGAACAUAGCCUAACCCCACCGUUGGUUGAGUGGGGCGUAAGGGAGCGAAAAAUAGUAGCGAAGUAGGUGAUUGUACACUGGCGAGAAAAGCUGUAUGUAUUGAUAAGGUGCCCGUACCGCAAACCGACACAGGUAGAUGAGGAGAGAAUCCUAAGACCAGCGGGAGAAGUGUUGUUAAGGAACUCGGCAAAAUGACCCCGUAACUUCGGGAUAAGGGGAGCCUACGCGAGUAGGCCGCAGAGAAUAGUCUCAAGCGACUGUUUAGCAAAAACACAGGUCUAUGCUAAAUCGAAAGAUGAUGUAUAUGGGCUGACGCCUGCCCGGUGCUGGAAGGUUAAGGGGAAGUGUUAGAGCAAUCGAAGCACUGAACUUAAGCCCCAGUAAACGGCGGCCGUAACUAUAACGGUCCUAAGGUAGCGAAAUUCCUUGUCAGGUAAGUUCUGACCCGCACGAAUGG